rnacentral:rRNA from 1 species
CCCUAGAUGUCCUGGGCCGCACGCGCGCUACACUGAGUGUCUGAGAUACGAGUCUGCCUGGUCCGGCAAGGUCUAGGUAAUCGCUAAAAGACACAUCAUGCUUGGGAUAGAUUAUUGCAAAUAUUAAUCUUGAACGAGGAAUUCCUAGUAAGCGCAAGUCAACAGCUUGCGUUGAUUACGUCCCUGCCCUUUGUACACACCGCCCGUCGCUACUACUGAUUGGAUGUUUAAGCGAGGUUCUCGAACUGCUAGCGACUUAGCUUCGGUGAGGUCGCAGUGUGGGAAGUGAACCUAGCUUUGGUGUCUAGAGGAAGUAAAAGUCGUAACA